rnacentral:rRNA from 1 species
GAUGAACGCUAGCUACAGGCUUAACACAUGCAAGUCGCGGGGCAGCAUGGGGGUUGCUUGCACUCCCCGAUGGCGACCGGCGCACGGGUGAGUAACGCGUAUCCAACCUGCCCUUCACCACGGGAUAACCCGGCGAAAGUCGGACUAAUACCGUAUGUUGUCCAUUGACGGCAUCCGAUUUGGACGAAAGGUUUGGCGGUGAAGGAUGGGGAUGCGUCCGAUUAGCUGGACGGCGGGGUGACGGCCCACCGUGGCGACGAUCGGUAGGGGUUCCGAGAGGAAGGUCCCCCACACUGGAACUGAGACACGGUCCAGACUCCUACGGGAGGCAGCAGUGAGGAAUAUUGGUCAAGGGGCGUAAGCCUGAACCAGCCAAGUAGCGUGCAGGAUGACGGCCCUAUGGGUUGUAAACUGCUUUUAUGCGGGGAUAAAGUGGCCCACGUGUGGGUUUUUGCAGGUACCGCAUGAAUAAGGACCGGCUAAUUCCGUG